rnacentral:rRNA from 1 species
AGAAGCCGAUGAAGGACGUUGCUAACGACGAUAUGCUUUGGGGAGCUGUAAGUAAGCUUUGAUCCAGAGAUUUCCGAAUGGGGAAACCCAACAUGAGUUAUGUCAUGUUAUCGAUAUGUGAAUACAUAGCAUAUCAGAAGGCACACCCGGAGAACUGAAACAUCUUAGUACCCGGAGGAAGAGAAAGAAAAAUCGAUUCCCUUAGUAGCGGCGAGCGAAACGGGAAGAGCCCAAACCAACAAGCUUGCUUGUUGGGGUUGUAGGACACUCUAUACGGAGUUACAAAGGACGACAUUAGACGAAUCAUCUGGAAAGAUGAAUCAAAGAAGGUAAUAAUCCUGUAGUCGAAAAUGUUGUCUCUCUUGAGUGGAUCCUGAGUACGACGGAGCACGUGAAAUUCCGUCGGAAUCUGGGAGGACCAUCUCCUAAGGCUAAAUACUCUCUAGUGACCGAUAGUGAACCAGUACCGUGAGGGAAAGGUGAAAAGCACCCCGGAAGGGGAGUGAAAUAGAACCUGAAACCGUGUGCUUACAAGUAGUCAGAGCCCGUUAAUGGGUGAUGGCGUGCCUUUUGUAGAAUGAACCGGCGAGUUACGAUUUGAUGCAAGGUUAAGCAGUAAAUGUGGAGCCGUAGCGAAAGCGAGUCUGAAUAGGGCGUUUAGUAUUUGGUCGUAGACCCGAAACCAGGUGAUCUACCCUUGGUCAGGUUGAAGUUCAGGUAACACUGAAUGGAGGACCGAACCGACUUACGUUGAAAAGUGAGCGGAUGAACUGAGGGUAGCGGAGAAAUUCCAAUCGAACCUGGAGAUAGCUGGUUCUCUCCGAAAUAGCUUUAGGGCUAGCCUCAAGUGAUGAUUAUUGGAGGUAGAGCACUGUUUGGACGAGGGGCCCCUCUCGGGUUACCGAAUUCAGACAAACUCCGAAUGCCAAUUAAUUUAACUUGGGAGUCAGAACAUGGGUGAUAAGGUCCGUGUU